CCGGCAGGGCUGGCAGCACUGUUGUGCUGUCCCACACAGAAGAUGUCUCUGACUGUUCCCUGCAUCUGAAAAGAUGACUCCAGAAAAGAAAACUGAGAGAUAAGAGCAGCAGCAGAGGGACAUGAAACAUAUGUGCCUUUCUACCAUAUCCUUUCAGAUUCCUAGAGGCUAAGGGUUUUUUGGUUUGGUCUUUUUUCUUCUUCUUUAAUUUUUUGAUGCUGUGGAAACAUCUUGGAGAGAGAAAAAAAUUCUUUCUGAAGACUGAGGGAAUUUUCUAAGGUUCUCACAAGGUAUUGAAAGACAAAGCUGCUCUUCUUCUCCAAGCAAGAAUGCUGCAUCUGUGAGCUGCUAAACCAUGAUCUCCCACCUUUUUUUUUAAAGAGACAGGAGGAGCACACAGCAGGGACAUUGAGACCAGUGGCUCUGGAACUUGCUGCACCACAGAGUAGUACCAGUGGAAAACUUCCUACAGGUUUUAGAGCUUCAGACUGGGGCCACAGAGAUGAUAUCUCCAAGCAAGGAGCCAACCUGGCCUCCUUUCUGCUGUCAAUUAUUUACAUUCAGAGAGGAAGAACUGUCCUGGUGUUCUGGGCCAGGUGCUGAGCCAGGUUCGGAUUUCUGGAAGUGAGACCUCUUCCUUAAGUAACUGCAAAAAGGAACACGAACACAAAACGCAGAUCUGAUGUAAAAGAAUAAAGUUAUAAU